rnacentral:lncRNA from 1 species
GAGGUGUGGAUGACGUAAGAGAGAGAAGCGCGGCAUCGACUUAGGGGCGGUGUGGGAAUAGAAAUGUUUCAUUUAUCUUUACAGAUUUAGUUAGUAAAUUUUACAUUUUGCAACUAUAAAUUUAUUAAAAUAAGUAAUUAACUUAAAGUUUGAAGUAAACGUAUCAUUAAUUAGCUCAACUUAAAUAAAUUGUAAGGUUGAAUAUUAAAAUCAAAAUUUUAAAAGAUCGAAUAGUCGAGUCAAAAUAAUUUAUAGUUCAGAUAAAUUUUACAUAUUUGUACUAUUUUUUUAAUAUUUUUUAACAUU